UACGUAGGUGGCAAGCGUUGUCCGGAUUUAUUGGGUUUAAAGGGUGCGUAGGCGGCCCUGUAAGACAGUGCUGAAAUCCCCCGGCUUAACCGGGGUGGUGGCAUUGAUACUGCAGGGCUUGAGUACAGAUGAGGUAGGCGGAAUUGACGGUGUAGCGGUGAAAUGCAUAGAUAUCGUCAAGAACACCGAUAGCGAAGGCAGCUUACUGGGCUGUAACUGACGCUGAUGCACGAAAGUGUGGGGAUCAAACAGG
rnacentral:rRNA from 1 species